CCUACGGGAGGCUGCAGUGGGGAAUCUUGCGCAAUGGGCGAAAGCCUGACGCAGCAACGCCGCGUGUGUGAUGAAGGUCUUCGGAUCGUAAAGCACUGUCGGCAGGAACGAUGGUUUGCAUGGCUAAUACACAUGCAGAUUGACGGUACCUGCAAAGGAAGCACCGGCUAACUCUGUGCCAGCAGCCGCGGUAAUACAGAGGGUGCAAGCGUUGUUCGGAAUCAUUGGGCGUAAAGCGCUCGUAGGCGGCCGACCAAGUCAGGUGUGAAAGCCUG
rnacentral:rRNA from 1 species